GACGAACGCUGGCGGCGUGCUUAACACAUGCAAGUCGAACGGUGAACCUCUUCGGAGGGGAUCAGUGGCGAACGGGUGAGUAACACGUGGGCAACCUGCCCCCGGCUCUGGGAUAACUCCAAGAAAUUGGGGCUAAUACCGGAUGUUCACCGCUUCCCGCAUGGGUGGUGGUGGAAAGGGUUUCCGGCUGGGGAUGGGCCCGCGGCCUAUCAGCUUGUUGGUGGGGUAGUGGCCUACCAAGGCGACGACGGGUAGCCGGCCUGAGAGGGUGACCGGCCACACUGGGACUGAGACACGGCCCAGACUCCUACGGGAGGCAGCAGUGGGGAAUAUUGCGCAAUGGGCGGAAGCCUGACGCAGCAACGCCGCGUGGGGGAUGACGGCCUUCGGGUUGUAAACCUCUUUCAGCAGGGACGAAGCGCAAGUGACGGUACCUGCAGAAGAAGCACCGGCCAACUACGUG
rnacentral:rRNA from 1 species